CAGCCACCACUGUUGCAGCUAAAGCCUGGAAAGCUGCCGAGGAAGGGUUGCUGAGAUCGCUUGUAAAUGUUUGGUCGAGACUAAACCGCAGUCCAAGAGUUCCCUCACUGGAUGAAGGAGGGUCUGUUGCUGCAGUCGUGGCUGCUGUUGUACUAGAAGCUGCAGUCGUUGCAGCAGCAGUCGUGGUGGAAGCCGCAGUCGUUGCAGCCGCAGUCAUUGCAGCAGCAGUCGUGUUGGAAGCCGCAGUCGUGGCAGCAGCUGUCAUGUUAGCAGCUGCAGUUGUUGCAGCUGUUGUGUUAGAGGCUGCAGUUGUUGCAGCUGUUGUGUUAGAGGCUGCAGUCAUGGCAGCUGUUGUGUUAGAGGCUGCAGUCAUGGCAGCUGUUGUGUUAGAGGCUGCAGUUGUUGCAGCUGUUGUGUUAGAGGCUGCAGUCGUGGCAGCGGUUGUGUUAGAGGCUGCAGUUGUUGCAGCUGUUGUGUUAGAGGCUGCAGUCGUGGCAGCGGUUGUGUUAGCAGCUGCAGUCAGGGCAGUUGUAACAGUAGGUGCCGCAGUGGAAGCAGAAGUGGAAACUGUACAACAUCAAUGGUUAAUCAAUAAAAAUAUGAUGCAGUCACAUUUAUUAAAUAUUAGGGUGAUAACAAACAAAUGAAUUAAGAUUUUGGAUUUUAUACUUACUUGCAGUAAGACUGCCUGGUAUAAUGUUCAGGGAGGAAGAGUUGCUGGUAAGUUCAGUACUGAGUUGUGAAGUUGCAUUACUUGUUGAAGGCACUGAGCUUUGAUUUCUAAAUGUGAGAACCAUAUUGGUAACCACUGAUCCAUUCCUAUUGUGACAGUGAAAAAGAACAACAUCAUUUAGGCAUAUCACGGAGAAAUAUCUUUUAAAAAAAGUUGGUGGCUGAAAUUUGGGCUUACGUGAAUGAAGUAACAUUGGAACGAAUGAAAGCUGAUCCAUAGAGCCUCUGGCACGCUGCGUUCACCUGAAAUAUA
ensembl:lncRNA